rnacentral:rRNA from 1 species
CAGCAGCCGCGGUAAAACGUAGGGUGCGAGCGUUAAUCGGAAUUACUGGGCGUAAAGCGUGCGCAGGCGGUUAUGUAAGACAGUUGUGAAAUCCCCGGGCUCAACCUGGGAACUGCAUCUGUGACUGCAUAGCUAGAGUACGGUAGAGGGGGAUGGAAUUCCGCGUGUAGCAGUGAAAUGCGUAGAUAUGCGGUGGAACACCGAUGGCGAAGGCAAUCACCUGGACCUGUACUGACGCUCAUGCACGAAAGCGUGGGGAGCAAACAGGAUUAGAUACCCCCGUAGUCCCUGUCUCUUAUAC